GCAUUAGCGAACACCCGCAUAGCUGAUGUUUUGUCAGUGUCGGAGAUGCAACAGCAUUGGAGCUGUCAAAUCGGUAAGCAGCCGAUCUUGAUCAUUGUCACAUUCGAGUUAGACGUUUAGAACAAGAAGGUGUUGACUAUAUACACAGGCUGCCAGUUGGGGAACCCUGGUGUAGACUAAAUAUAAAUAAUGACGCUCACAUUGAAUAUAAUGAAACAAAAUAAGAAGGGCUUCUAUUAGCCUAACGGAGGUGUAGAUUAUAUCUCACAUUCCAGUGUUCCUAAUGGAGGUGUAGAUUACAUCUCACAUUCCAGUGUUCCUAAUGGAGGUGUAGAUUACAUCUCACAUUCCAGUGUUCCUAAUGGAGGUGUAGAUUACAUCUCACAUUCCAGUGUUCCUAAUGGAGGUGUAGAUUACAUCUCACAUUCCAGUGUUCCUAAUGGAGGUGUAGAUUACAUCUCACAUUCCAGUGUUCCUAAUGGAGGUGUAGAUUACAUCUCACAUUCCAGUGUUC